GACGAACGCUGGCGGCGUGCUUAACACAUGCAAGUCGUACGGUAAGGCCCUUUCGGGGGUACACGAGUGGCGAACGGGUGCGUAACACGUGCGUAACCUGCCCACAACUUUGGGAUAACGCUAGGAAACUGGUGCUAAUACUGGAUAUGUGCUCCUGCUGCAUGGUGGGGGUUGGAAAGCUCCGGCGGUUGUGGAUGGACUCGCGGCCUAUCAGCUUGUUGGUGGGGUAGUGGCCUACCAAGGCGGCGACGGGUAGCCGGCCUGAGAGGGUGACCGACCACAUUGGGACUGAGAUACGGCCCAGACUCCUACGGGAGGCAGAGGUGGGGAAUAUUGCACAAUGGGCGCAAGCCUGAUGCAGCAACGCCGCGUGCGGGAUGACGGCCUUCGGGUUGUAAACCGCUUUCAGCAGGGACGAAGCUUUUUGUGACGGUACCUGCAGAAGAAGCACCGGCUAACUACGUG
rnacentral:rRNA from 1 species